rnacentral:rRNA from 1 species
AGAGUUUGAUCAUGGCUCAGAUUGAACGCUGGCGGCAGGCCUAACACAUGCAAGUNGGACGGCUAGCACAGAGGAGCUUGCUCCUCGGGUGACGAGUGGCGGACGGGUGAGUAAUGUCUGGGGAUCUGCCCGAUAGAGGGGAAUAACCACUGGAAACGGUGGCUAAUACCGCAUAACGUCGCAAGACCAAAGAGGGGGACCUUCGGGCCUCUCACUAUCGGAUGAACCCAGAUGGGAUUAGCUAGUAGGCGGGGUAACGGCCCACCUAGGCGACGAUCCCUAGCUGGUCUGAGAGGAUGACCAGCCACACUGGAACUGAGACACGGUCCAGACUCCUACGGGAGGCAGCAGUGGGGAAUAUUGCACAAUGGGCGCAAGCCUGAUGCANCCAUGCCGCGUGUAUGAAGAAGGCCUUCGGGUUGUAAAGUACUUUCAGCGGGGAGGAAGGCAGUGAGGUUAAUAACCUUACUGAUUGACGUUACCCGCAGAAGAAGCACCGGCUAACUCCGUGCCAGCAGCCGCGGUAAUAC